rnacentral:rRNA from 1 species
AGGACGAACGCUGGCGGCGUGCCUAAUGCAUGCAAGUCGAGCGACGAAUAGGUGCGGGUAACCAAGCCUAUUACGGAGCGGCGAACGGGUGAGUAACACGUGAGCAACCUGCCCCGAAGACCGGGAUAGCCCAGGGAAACUUGGAUUAAUACCGGAUAUCCUCCUUUGAUCGCAUGGUCGUUGGAAGAAAUGCUUUUACGCUUUCGGGAUGGGCUCGCGGCCUAUCAGCUUGUUGGUGGGGUAACGGCCUACCAAGGCGUCGACGGGUAGCUGGUCUGAGAGGACGAUCAGCCACACUGGGACUGAGACACGGCCCAGACUCCUACGGGAGGCAGCAGCAGGGAAUUUGCG